AUACUGGUAGUAUAACCUUGUACAGUUGCCUUCCAAGCAAAAAGACCUAAUGGUCAGUAUA
rnacentral:tRNA from 1 species